ACGCUCGACACCUACGGGAGGCAGCAGUGGGGAAUAUUGCACAAUGGGGGAAACCCUGAUGCAGCGACGCCGCGUGGAGGAAGAAGGUCUUCGGAUUGUAAACUCCUGUUGUUGGGGAAAAAGAGGAUGGUACCCAACAAGGAAGUGACGGCUAACUACGUGCCAGCAGCCGAGGUAAUCUGAGGCGGGCUGGCAAGGC
rnacentral:rRNA from 1 species